GUCCAGACUCCUACGGGAGGCAGCAGUGGGGAAUAUUGCACAAUGGGGGAAACCCUGAUGCAGCGACGCCGCGUGAGCGAUGAAGUAUUUCGGUAUGUAAAGCUCUAUCAGCAGGGAAGAAAAUGACGGUACCUGACUAAGAAGCCCCGGCUAACUACGUGCCAGCAGCCGCGGUAAUACGUAGGGGGCAAGCGUUAUCCGGAUUUACUGGGUGUAAAGGGAGCGUAGACGGCUGUGCAAGCCAGAUGUGAAAGCCCGGGGCUCAACCCCGGGACUGCAUUUGGAACUGUGUGGCUGGAGUGUCGGAGAGGCAGGCGGAAUUCCUAGUGUAGUGGUGAAAUGCGUAGAUAUUAGGAGGAACACCAGUGGCGGAGGCGGCCUGCUGGACGAUGACUGACGUUGAGGCUCGAAAGCGUGGGGAGCAAACAGGAUUAGAUACCCCUGUA
rnacentral:rRNA from 1 species